rnacentral:misc_RNA from 1 species
CACGCCGCAUCCUUGCAGAUGCGCGAACCUCAGUCCCCCCCAGGGUAUUACACAACGGGCUAUAACACUCCCCGAAGAGAGCCACAUUCCCGAAGUCUUUAUCCCCCGGGGAAAACUGAUGCUGGCCUGGACUGGAAAAGUGCACUGGGGAGAACCCCAGAUGAUUAACCAAGCCCAAGUCUGGUCAUAAACGCUUCCCUUUCAACAAUUUCACGUACUUUUUAACUCUCUUUUCAAAGUGCUUUUCAUCUUUCGAUCACUCUACUUGUGCGCUAUCGGUCUCUGGCCGGUAUUUAGCUUUAGAAGACAUAUACCUCCCAUUUAGAGCAGCAUUCCCAAACUACUCGACUCGUCGAAGGAACUUUACAGAGAUUUGGCAUCCAACCAGACGGGGCUCUCACCCUCUAUGGCGUCCCGUUCCAGGGAACUCGGAAGGCACCGCAUCAAAAGUAUCCUCUACAAAUUACAACUCGGGCCCGAGAGCCAGAUUUCAAAUUUGAGCUGUUGCCGCUUCACUCGCCGUUACUAGGGCAAUCCCUGUUGGUUUCUUUUCCUCCGCUUAUUGAUAUGCUUAAGUUCAGCGGGUAUUCCUACCUGAUCCGAGGUCAACAUUCAGAAGUUGGGGGUUUAACGGCUUGGCCGCGCCGCGUACCAGUUGCGAGGGUUUUACUACUACGCAAUGGAAGCUGCAGCGAGACCGCCACUAGAUUUCGGGGCCGGCUUGCCGCAAGGGCUCGCCGAUCCCCAACACCAAACCCGGGGGCUUGAGGGUUGAAAUGACGCUCGAACAGGCAUGCCCGCCAGAAUACUGGCGGGCGCAAUGUGCGUUCAAAGAUUCGAUGAUUCACUGAAUUCUGCAAUUCACAUUACUUAUCGCAUUUUGCUGCGUUCUUCAUCGAUGCCAGAACCAAGAGAUCCGUUGUUGAAAGUUUUGAUUUAUUUAUGGUUUUACUCAGAAGUUACAUAUAGAAACAGAGUUUAGGGGUCCUCUGGCGGGCCCGUCCCGUUUUACCGGGAACGGGCUGAUCCGCCGAGGCAACAAUUGGUAUGUUUCACAGGGGGUUUGGGGAGUUGUAAACUCCGGUAAUGAUCCCUCCGCUUGGUUCACCAACGGGAAACCUUGUUACACACUUUU